rnacentral:rRNA from 1 species
CUGCAGUCGAGCGACUGAUUAGAAGCUUGCUUCUAUGACGUUAGCGGCGGACGGGUGAGUAACACGUGGGCAACCUGCCUGUAAGACUGGNAUAACUUCGGGAAACCGAAGCUAAUACCGGAUAGGAUCUUCUCCUUCAUGGGAGAUGAUUGAAAGAUGGUUUCGGCUAUCACUUACAGAUGGGCCCGCGGUGCAUUAUCUAGUUGGUGAGGUAACGGCUCACCAAGGCAACGAUGCAUAGCCAACCUGAGAGGGUGAUCGGCCACACUGGGACUGAGACACGGCCCAAACUCCUACGGGAGGCAGCAGUAGGGAAUCUUCCGCAAUGGACGAAAGUCUGACGGAGCAACGCCGCGUGAGUGAUGAAGGCUUUCGGGUCGUAAAACUCUGUUGUUAGGGAAGAACAAGUACAAGAGUAACUGCUUGUACCUUGACGGUACCUAACCAGAAAGCCACGGCUAACUACGUGCCAGCAGCCGCGGUAAUACNUAGGUGGCAAGCGUUAUCCGGAAUUAUUGGGCGUAAAGCGCGCGCAGGCGGUUUCUUAAGUCUGAUGUGAAAGCCCACGGNUCAACCGUGGAGGGUCAUUGGAAACUGGGGAACUUGAGUGCAGAAGAGAAAAGCGGAAUUCCACUUGUAGCGGUGAAAUGCGUAGAGAUGUGGAGGAACACCAGUGGCAAAGGCGGCUUUUUGGUCUGUAACUGACGCUGAGGCGCGAAAGCGUGGGGAGCAAACAGGAUUAGAUACCCUGGUAGUCCACNCCGUAAACCAUGAGUGCUAAGUGUUAAGAGGGUUUCCGCCCUUUUAGUGCUGCAGCUAACGCAUUAAGCCACUCCGCCUGGGGGAGUAC